rnacentral:tRNA from 1 species
GUCGUGGUAGCUGAACGGCAAAGCUCUUGGCUUCCAAACUGGAAUUCUCAGGUUCGAAUUCUGGUGAAGACU